rnacentral:tRNA from 1 species
GCGGCCAUGGCGAAAUUGGUAGACGCAAGGGACUUAAAAUCCCUCGGGGGUGACCCCGUGCCGGUUCGACCCCGGCUGGCCGC